UCCCCAGAGGACUCUCAGGCUCUCUGAGAUAAGGGAAUGGGUGGAACUGCCUCUACAGCUGCAUUUCCAGUCUUACAAAGAUUUCCCUUGCUCUUGAUUCCUCAGAAAUUGAGUUGUAACUCAAAUGACAUUAUGGGUUGACCUACCUGUCCAACUACAUCAUAAAAGCACAGGGAAACUACUCAAGUUUUCUCCAAGAUGGAGUUUCUGGGGCAUAACCCAUCCAAAGUUGAAAGUGUUUCCAACUAAUUAAAAUGCACCCGAGGGGUGAGUCUCUGGGGAUGCUUGCGGCGUCCCCAUGGCGGUAAAGCCGGUGUCUGACUGACAGCAGCCGGAGAAGGGUGCGGAGCCUGACUGCAGGUGUCAACAUAGUUAUAAGAUUUGGUCAAGUCCCCUUCAGCCCGGGCACUUAGUCCGUGAGCCAGCACAAGGCGAGCCAGGGAGGCAGGAGGCAAAGGCCUGGAGCUGCCCGGGGCGGGCUCCCAACACCAGGGUUGAGAGUUAAGUCCCUGGAAGAAAGUUUUUCAAGUUUGAUUUUACAGAAGGUCUAGGUUCCACUCAGGUCCAGCCUGAACUGAACCCCGACUUGAUGACAACAGAGGAGCUGACGAACAAGACAGACAAAGAAGGGAAAGAGGUGAUCAGGCCUCACCCUCCCGGCCUCUUCCCAAGAGUUAUCAAGAUAAAGCAGGUUUGCUUUUGCCCGCCGCCCAGAAAGCCAAACACAGAGGUGAUGAGAUUGCAGCAGAGACAGGGUUUACUCACAAGGCAGCCAUGACAGGAAGUGAGGGAAUGAGCCUCAAAUUCGCUUCCCCAAAAAUAGGGACUCAGGGAUAUUUAUGGGAUGGGGGCAAGGUGGUCUGAAAUGUGGAGAGAGGUGGUUGGAAGUGAGGAGAGCUGAGGUAAUUGAUGAUCUGUGCAAGCGUAGUCAGACUCCACGCCUCUUCAUAGGAUCCAUGUUCACAAAAUGGCAGCCUCUAGCAUGAUCUGAGGGUGGAGUUUUUAGCCUCUUGACGUCCAAAGGUCGCCUAUCAGACAUCUGUGUGGGCCCAGUUGAUGGGCUGGUGGUCUCAACCGGCCUGAAGUGGACAAGGAGUUCUAAUUCCUGAAAAACACCUCACACACCCAUUACCAUGGUGACCCAGGCUCCAGAGAGAUGUUCUCUAUAGGAACCUACUGGGAGUCGGACAUCACAUUCCCUAAACAGCACAGUUAACAAUGGGCGGGUUAAACAGCUAAAAGCUAUAAUCAGUAAUUGCAAAAAGGAAAAAAACUUUAGUUCCUAGCUACUGGAUCAUCAAUAGCUAACCCUCUGCCGGUUUCACUACCUUUUUAAAAAAAUUAUAUUUUAAUGGCUUCUCUCUCCCCUGCUAUAAUGUAAGUUCCACAAAGAAAAGGAUCUCUUUGUCUUGUUCCUUUAUCUACCCUAAGUGCCUGGAACACUACCUGGCCUGCUGCAGUGCUCAGCAGAUAGCCAUUGCUGACUGAAGGAACGGAGGUGUGGACAGAGAGGCUAGUCCCGUCACAGUCACCAUGUGGGGUAGGGAGGGG
ensembl:lncRNA